CAAUGGUGUUUGUCGUGUGAUGCGAAUCCACACACUUUCUUCCCUCGUUGCUACAUGUUUGGUGAGCAAAAUGAAAAACAAGCAUUCAUUAAAGACUUUACCAUGACUGCGGCUUGUGGUAUCCUAAAAUGGGUUUUGAGAACCAAUGGGAAGUCUUUGCAAGAUGAAGUUAUUCCCAGCCGGAAAGAAAA